CUUAGCGGCAAGGACCACUUGACUUCACACUCCAGAAUGUUUGGCUCUAGCUUCUGCAAAUGGAACCACCAGGCUCUCCCAGUUGUUACUAUCAUGCAUCACAGGACAUUCUGGGAGAAGGAAGAAAACUUCUAAAGCUUCUUGGUGUGGAGAAUUAAAUGGAAGAUUUUUGAGCAGAUUAUCCCUGAGACAUGAGGUUAUCUGUGGUCAAAAAGGAUGCGGGAAAAGACAAGUCAAACACAGCAGGAACUGGGUGCAGUUACUGUAAUAAAAUAAAGUGUGGAACCUGGAGUUUCAUUCCACCAUGAAACUGGAAUGAUCACUUCAUCUUUCUAAAACCCAUGUUUACAAUUCCAUCUUCCCUCCCAAGUACCUCGGAGUACGUAUUUGACAAGUAUUUUUCCCAUCCAGUUGUUGGCGUUUAUGAAGGAGAUCAAGAAAUCACAUGUGCAAGACUGUAUUAAAUGCACAAUGGACUCGGAAUUAAAAGGCAGCCCCCUAAUAAGUUCUAUAGUGUUCCCUCCAGCUCCACUAUCACACCUCACUUAUUAAAGAGGAAGAAUAUGCCAGAAUCUCCAAAAGUAAAACAAAAAUUAAAAAACAAAAACAAACGAAAGGAACUACAAUGAAAAUCAACAUGGUUUCCUGUUAUCUUCUUACAGAAUCACCUGUCUCAUCAAACUCUCUCCACCAAACUCUAGUUUCUCUCUCUCCCAAUAUUCUUAACAAUUUCCCCAAUUCAAAAUGCAAGCUGAAGAAAAAUCUGAAGAAAAAAGUUGAAGAAAAAUUCAAACGGAACUGUGAAUUUUUAUGUUGUUAUGUGGGCUAACAGUAAUAAUUUGCCUAAAAGCCCACUAAGAAGAUAAGCUAGUGUUUCCAGGGUUCUUAUUACUUGCCAGAUAUUGUGCUAAUUCAUACAUAUAGGGUCAUCUAUUCUUGUCAUUUCUCUGUAUAAUAGAUAUUAUUAUCCCCAAUUUAUAAAUGAGAACUCUGCAUGUCAGAGAAAUUAAAUUGCUCAGGGUCACAGA